UACGUAGGGUGCGAGCGUUGUCCGGAAUUACUGGGCGUAAAGAGCUCGUAGGUGGUUUGUCGCGUUGUUCGUGAAAACUCACAGCUCAACUGUGGGCGUGCGGGCGAUACGGGCAGACUGGAGUACUGCAGGGGAGACUGGAAUUCCUGGUGUAGCGGUGGAAUGCGCAGAUAUCAGGAGGAACACCGGUGGCGAAGGCGGUUCUCUGGGAAUGACCUGACGCUGAGGAGCGAAAGUGUGGGGAGCGAACAGG
rnacentral:rRNA from 1 species